rnacentral:lncRNA from 1 species
UCUUUUUAAAUAGAAAUGUAUAAACAAAAAAAUUGAGCCAUCAAAAAAAUUCAAUCUUGGCUUUCACAUUCCUAAAAUAAACAAAUGCAACUAUUGUGAGAAGUUUAAAGUUGCUGAAAAUACUGAUAUGAUGUCUAAAAAAAUGAGAGAAGACUUUGAAAGACAUCAAGUUUUUAAAAAAAAAUGAAAGAUAUACUUGCUGAAGAAAAAAAGGAUAAAAAUGUUCCAUUUUACUUUUCGAUCUUCAAAAUGUCAUUUUGACUCGGCAUGCAGAAAUUAGUUCCCUUUUUUAUGUGAGAAAACUAAGCGUGUAAAAUUUGACAGUUUACUUUUCCACAACCAAAAAAGUGUAUUGUGCAUUAUGGACUGAAUCAAUGGCGAGAAGAAGCAGCGAUGAUCUUGCCAGUGCCGUUUGCUAAACUUAAAGUGAUGUGGCUAAGAAAAACCACGUUUAAAUCAAGCCCCGAUUGCAAUAAACCUAUUAACUGUGCAAAUGUCAAGUUUAAUGAAAAACCUAACAGAAAAAAUGCAGCAACAAGUCUAUCAACUUCCACUGUUUUAAAUGUAAAACCAAAUAUUCAAAAAUGUACAAAGGAACUUGUAGACCUAAAAAAAAAAGAUGUUUUUGCUUAUAUCUCUAGAGGACAGAGAUUACUAUUGAGUUGUUCUUCACUUAUAAAAUAAACAGAUACCAUGAAAAACCUUUGAGGUUUGUACUUAAUGAAAUGGUUUUUAAAUGUACCAAUAAAAUGUAGCUCAAAAAAGAAUAUAAAUGAGUUAACAAAAUUUUGUAACCUUGUUUUGUGACUGAAGCAAUAACCUAAUUAUGAAACUUAGCUUUUUAUUAAGAUUUUGUUUCAGUUACAAAAUUUAAAGUAACUAACUGCUUCAGUCACAAAAUUUAAAAGUAACUAACAUGUUUCUAACUACCGUUAUAACAGCAGUUAGAAACUUGUCAUAAUGAGAAAAAGGUUUAUUGCUAUGACAAGGUUCUAACUGUAUUUUGGGGUAUUUAUUUUCCUAUGAAAAAUAAAAGAUUUUUCAAAAAUUAUAGUAAUACCUAUUAGAAAUGCUUAUGUUAUCACGAGUAAAAAUUAUUACUAAUGGAUUUCAAUAAAUUUUGAUAAAAAAAACAUAACAACCUUUUAGAUGGAUUUACUCAAAACUGCUCGCGGAUCAAUUAGAACCUUGUCAAACCAACGCAACGAGUUAACGAGAUUUAUAGAGCCAAUAAAUCUGCGAAAAGCCAUAUGGUUACUGGGCACUAAGGAGUUAACUAGAUUUUGAGGUUAGUUAAAGUAACUGUUUUUCAGUUAUUUUAGUUAACCUAAUCAAAUAGUUAUUAUGCUUUUUUUUUUCUCUUAUCUAAAUAAGAUAUUCACAUUGCCUGUUGAGCAAAUAAUAAAGCAAACUAUCGAUACAAUUGAUGUUAACUCUUGAUAAACAUCCUGCUUAGCUACUUAAGUCAACAUGAAUAAAACAUAUAAAUACACCUAAUCUUCACUAUCAUUUACUUUAACAAAUUUUAUAUUUGGAAACUUGUGAAAAUAAUUUUUAUAUUAUUAAACAUGGAAACAUAUAUCCUGCUCUCACUUCUAGGCUAUGCGAUAACGUUUGAUACGCAAAAUUGGAUGAGGGAUGUUGAUGGAAAUAAAAAACUUAGUCAAUUGGCCAUACCUGGAACUCAUGAUUCUGGAGCAUACAAUACACCUGGAGAUAUCGUAGAAACUCAAGAUUGGAGUAUAAUGCAGCAAUUAGAGAAUGGGAUUUGAUUCCUUGAUAUUCGUCUCGGCAAUAACGGUGCAAGUAAUGACUUUGAAAUUCGACACGGAAAUCUAAGCAUGUUAAAGAAUAUUUCUGCAUGGUGCACUCUGACCUGUUGGCAAUAUUUGCAUACUGAUAUGAGUAAAAGUGACUUCAACAACCAGAAUGUAUUUUUGAUAAAUAUUAGUAAUAACAGUUCAUAUUGAAACAAGAUUUUGUGUAAAGAGGUUUUCAAAGAAGUCGUUUUAACAACAAUGGAAAAGCUUCCAAUUCCUGAGAUAACCGUGAAAGCAUUCGAUACAUGAUUAAAGAAUCGUUUAAAAGUUUGCUUAAUUUCGACAGUGUAAUUUUAAUUACUAUUUUUUUGAAAUAAACCAAUCAAUUUAUA